CCGCACCAAACCAGCAGCGCGUCCGGGUGGAGGAUAGGGCCCUGAGAGCUGUCAGGCCCCCGGGCAGGGGUUUUGAGACCAGGUGUGGUUUAGAAAAGGAGGGAAACCACAAGCCGUCUACUGAGGCACCGAGAAGGAGACGGGACCGACCCUCUCUACCACCAGCCUUAAGGGGCACAGAAUUCAGACUUUAGGAUGUCUUUAGGGCAUGUUGCGGAUGGCAAGGCCUGGAGAGAGGAAGGUGAUCCAGUCGGGGAGUGACUGAAUACCCAAGAAGCAGACAUCCCGGAAGAAAACCUGUAAGAACUAUCUGGGUAGAUGUGACUGGCCCCUGUCUGGGCCAUCAGCUGAUGACAAGUGGCCUGAUAAUGAUAAUUACUGCAGCAUUGUCCAGCGUGUCCAAACUUGGAAUCCAAGUGAAUGUCCACUCAUCAGCAGAUGGCUGAGGGUUACCUCCUCCACCCCGUAAGUCAACUUGAACUACUAACUUCCUCUCAGCACCAGCUUCCUGGAAAAUGCAAGCAGCCCAGACUUCUAAAACCUUUUGGUAAAAAUUGACAUUAAGGAGCCAUUUCUCUGUUUUAAAUAGUCACUAAAAUA